rnacentral:rRNA from 1 species
UACGGGGGGGGCAAGCGUUGUCCGGAUUUAUUGGGCGUAAAGAGCUCGUAGGCGGUUUCGUAAGUCGGGUGUGAAAACUCUAGGCUCAACCUAGAGACGCCACCCGAUACUGCGAUGACUAGAGUCCGGUAGGGGAGUGUGGAAUUCCUGGUGUAGCGGUGAAAUGCGCAGAUAUCAGGAGGAACACCGGUGGCGAAGGCGGGUCUCUGGGCCGAUACUGACGCUGAGGAGCGAAAGCGUGGGGAGCGAACAGG